GAUGAACGCUGGCGGCGUGCCUAAUACAUGCAAGUCGAGCGAACAGACGAGGAGCUUGCUCCUCUGACGUUAGCGGCGGACGGGUGAGUAACACGUGGAUAACCUACCUAUAAGACUGGGAUAACUUCGGGAAACCGGAGCUAAUACCGGAUAAUAUAUUGAACCGCAGGGUUCAAUAGUGAAAGACGGUGUUGCUGUCACUUCUAGAUGGAUCCGCGCCGCAUUAGCUAGUUGGUAAGGUAACGGCUUACCAAGGCGACGAUGCGUAGCCGACCUGAGAGGGUGAUCGGCCACCUUGGAACUGAGACACGGUCCAGGCUCCUACGGGAGGCAGCAGUAGGGAAUCUUCCGCAAUGGGCGAAAGCCUGACGGAGCAACGCCGCGUGAGUGAUGAAGGUCUUCGGAUCGUAAAACUCUGUUAUUAGGGAAGAACAAAUGUGUAAGUAACUAUGCACGUCUUGACGGUACCUAAUCAGAAAGCCACGGCUAACUACGUG
rnacentral:rRNA from 1 species